UACGAAGGGGGCUAGCGUUGUUCGGAAUUACUGGGCGUAAAGCGUGCGCAGGCGGCUUCUCAAGUCAGGGGUGAAAGCCCAGAGCUCAACUCUGGAACUGCCUUUGAGACUGAGAGGCUUGAGUACGGGAGAGGUGAGUGGAAUUCCCAGUGUAGAGGUGAAAUUCGUAGAUAUUGGGAAGAACACCGGUGGCGAAGGCGGGUCUCUGGGCAGUAACUGACGCUGAGGAGCGAAAGCGUGGGGAGCGAACAGG
rnacentral:rRNA from 1 species